AAGAAGAACCCCUCUACAACAACACAUACUUGGCAACCCCUUAAACAGCCGUUGCAAAAUUUUCUCAUAGAUACAGAUAUAUGGGUUGCAGUCCACAUCGUUGCUCCUCAUACAGCUCGGAAUAUGUGGAGAGAAAAAACUAAGAGCCCAGCCCACUAAGCAACUCCCAUAACUUAUCUAAAUACCACCUGCCACGACCGCAGGAUUCACGCACAACCGCACCCUGAAUCCACACCUCGCCUCCCCAAACCUAGAUGAGAAGCAGCCACCGCCGCCGCCGGGAAUAGCUUCUAGAUUUGGCCAGGACCAGAUGAUCGAAGCGGUUGUGAUGGAUUCUCCGUCGGAUGCGUCGGAGCUCCACCGGCGCUGAAGAGGAAUGAUGUGGAUGCGUGGAAGCUGUGGCUGGAUGACGAUGGCACCGGAUUCCCCGUCGCCUUCCGCGCCACCCGGAGCCGCCGCCUGGACCGAGAUGUGUUGCCUGUCAUGGCGGGGGUGAAGAGGAAACGCGCGGAUGCCCGGCGCGGUUGUACUGCCACCGCUCCCUCACACGCAGCCGAUGCCGGAGGUUAGGUGGUGCCUGGGGACAACGAGGAGAGGGCGAUCGAUCAUGUUGUACAUGCCCGUCGAGGUCACAGGUAGCGUCCAGCUCGGCCGCUCUGGCCAGGUGCCCCUCUCCGCAUCAGCCCAGAUUGGAUCAACGGACUCAACGGUACGUGCUAAUUUCCUGAGUUACGCUGUUAAUUGGGCUUGUUCGCUUCGAAUUACAUUCCACUGUGAACUGUGAUGUUCCCAACUUGCCGAAUUCCUGAAUCACUCAAACUGACUAGAAUUGAUACUGUCGGGCAGCAGCACAGGCACUAUACUGCAAGACGCGAGCAACCACCAAGCGAUGUUCUCUGGAGGUUGUGCCGGAGAAUCUAUCCGUCAGUCUGACGCACUGACUAGAAUUGAUAUUGAGCGAUAACAUACCUGUAGCCAGUUAUGGGUGUGUUCAGAGUCUUUCCACUCGUAUGGGGGAUCUACAUAUAUUUGGAAGAUCUUUUAAAAUCCCUUAUUUUAAUAGCUUUUGUUGAUUCCUAGAACUAUAUUUUUACAUGAAAUAGGCGAAGGGGAAAAUAUUAGCUCUGAGUGACUUUUGGCCGUGCACAGAUGUUGCUUUUACCCACAAAUACUGCACAUAAAAAGGUAGUAUUUUAUGGUGAGACUCCAAAAUAUGUAUGCUCUCUCGCAUGGUAGAUCUCCUUUGUUAAAGGAUUUCAAUCUUCUGUUUUGACUCCUAUCUCAUUGUGGUUAUAUCUUAUCCAGAUUUCCUCAUGUAUUUCCAUCAGUACGACCUGUGAGUGUGAUGCUAUUUCAAGUGCAAAGGGACAGCAAAAAUUUAUUGGGUGCUGGCUUGCUUUGGCGUGCCAGGAAGGCAGGUCCCAUACAAGAUCUCAUCUAUCAGCAAUACUUGAUAUAUUGGAUAUCAACUCUGAAGAUGUUAGAAAAAUAUUAGAACGAAUGUAUAUAGGAUUAGGUGGAAUAUCAUAUUCUGAUGAAGAUUGUAUAUUGUCUACUUGUAACAUAACUUUCAUGUAUGACAUGGUUAUACCAGUAAUAAAUAUUAAUUUAUUGGCAUGCAA